rnacentral:rRNA from 1 species
AUUACGGGUGAAAACCUAAAACUCAAAAGACUUGACGGUGUUCUAACCUACCUAGAGGAGCCUGUUCCAUAAUCGACAACCCACGAUAUACCUAACCGCCCUUAGAAAAAUUCAGCCUAUAUACCGCCGUCGCCAGCUUACCUUUUAAAAGUAUAUCAGUAAGCUAAAAAGUAUUUUACUAAAAAGUCAGGUCAAGGUGUAGCACAUAGGUAGGAGGAAAUGGGCUACAUUAUUUAAUCUAAAUUAUUAACGAAUUUCUAAAUGAAAACAUAAUGAAGGUGGAUUUAGCAGUAAUUUAAACAAGAAUAUUUAAAUUAAACAAGCCCUAGAACAUGUACACACCGCCCG